rnacentral:rRNA from 1 species
GAUGAACGCUGGCGGCGUGCCUAAUACAUGCAAGUCGAGCGAACGGACGAGAAGCUUGCUUCUCUGAUGUUAGCGGCGGACGGGUGAGUAACACGUGGAUAACCUACCUAUAAGACUGGGAUAACUUCGGGAAACCGGAGCUAAUACCGGAUAAUAUUUUGAACCGCAUGGUUCAAAAGUGAAAGACGGUCUUGCUGUCACUUAUAGAUGGAUCCGCGCCGCAUUAGCUAGUUGGUAAGGUAACGGCUUACCAAGGCAACGAUGCAUAGCCGACCUGAGAGGGUGAUCGGCCACACUGGAACUGAGACACGGUCCAGACUCCUACGGGAGGCAGCAGUAGGGAAUCUUCCGCAAUGGGCGAAAGCCUGACGGAGCAACGCCGCGUGAGUGAUGAAGGUCUUCGGAUCGUAAAACUCUGUUAUUAGGGAAGAACAUAUGUGUAAGUAACUGUGCACAUCUUGACGGUACCUAAUCAGAAAGCCACGGCUAACUACGUG